rnacentral:rRNA from 1 species
GCGAGUCAACGCCGCAAGGCGUGGCAUACGGCUCAGUAACACGUAGUCAACAUGCCCAAAGGACGUGGAUAACCUCGGGAAACUGAGGAUAAACCGCGAUAGGCCAAGGUUUCUGGAAUGAGCCAUGGCCGAAAUCUAUAUGGCCUUUGGAUUGGACUGCGGCCGAUCAGGCUGUUGGUGAGGUAAUGGCCCACCAAACCUGUAACCGGUACGGGCUUUGAGAGAAGGAGCCCGGAGAUGGGCACUGAGACAAGGGCCCAGGCCCUAUGGGGCGCAGCAGGCGCGAAACCUCUGCAAUAGGCGAAAGCUUGACAGGGUUACUCUGAGUGAUGCCCGCUAAGGGUAUCUUUUGGCACCUCUAAAAAUGGUGCAGAAUAAGGGGUGGGCAAGUCUGGUGUCAGCCGCCGCGGUAAUACCAGCACCCCGAGUU